CAAUCACCACUCAUUCUUGGAAUAUUAUGAGCUGGAGGUUUUGCUAAGCAUGACAUAUAUUAUAAUUCAGUUUCCACAGCAACCUCAUGAAGUCUUGCUUGACAGGUUCAGGCUCUUUCUGUAGUUGAGGGAGACUAAAGGGGACAGAGAUUCAGCAAUAUGACAUGAAAAUCUUGCCGAGCACACAAGGCCAGCAAACUGUAUGGUUUGAGUGCUUGGACUAGAAACGUGUCUAUGACGUUCUUAUCAUCAGGCCCUCUUCACUGUCAUGGAAAUUUUAAGAGGUCUCCCUUCAGAGUUCCAGCCACAUAUUCCCCUUCUCAGCGGGAACCUGCCUAUGCUGUCUCACAGACACCAACGCUGAACUGGUGGUCUCUCCCACACAUUUACUCCUUUCCCAAAUAUUCACCAUUUUUCACCACAGUUUUGAUUACUACUUGUAUAUACAUGCAGACCUGCAUACACGUGUUCUUAUGUGAGGAAAUAUAUAAAAAUGUUUAUAUAUGUGUGUGUUUACACAUAUAAGGCAGAAGCCUUAGCAUUUUAUUUUGUGCUGUAUCUCUAGUGCCUGCAGUAGUGGCUGAUGUAAAACAGAUACUCAAUAAAUAUUUGUCAAAUGGACAAAUUUCCUGCUGGAACAAUAAUUGGGGCCAGAGCAAUGCAGUGUAUUGGUUGCUUAUAUCUUGGUC
rnacentral:lncRNA from 1 species